rnacentral:rRNA from 1 species
CGGGUAGCGGAACACGUACGCAACCUUCCUUUAACUGGAGAAUAGCCCCUCGAAAGAGGGAUUAAUACUCCGUAACAUAUUGAUAAGGCAUCUUAUUAAUAUUAUAGCUACGGCGGUUAAAGAUGGGCGUGCGCCUGAUUAGAUAGUUGGCGGGGUAACGGCCCACCAAGUCUGCGAUCAGUAACUGGUGUGAGAGCACGACCAGUCACACGGGCACUGAGACACGGGCCCG